rnacentral:rRNA from 1 species
ACUGACAGCCAUGGUUACCGCGGCUGCUGGCACGGAGUUAGCCGGUGCUUCUUCUGUGAGUGAUGUCCUUCCUGCCGGUUAUUGACCCGCAGGCCUUCUUCCUCACUGAAAGUGAUUUACAACCCGAAGGCCUUCUUCACACACGCGGCAUGGCUGGAUCAGGGUUGCCCCCAUUGUCCAAUAUUCCCCACUGCUGCCUCCCGUAGGAGUCUGGGCCGUGUCUCAGUCCCAGUGUGGCUGAUCAUCCUCUCAGACCAGCUACGGAUCGUCGCCUUGGUGAGCCGUUACCUCACCAACCAGCUAAUCCGACAUAGGCUCAUCCGAUAGCGCGAGGCCCGAAGGUCCCCCGNUUUCCCCCGUAGGGCUAUGCGGUAUUAGCCUGGGUUUCCCCAGGUUAUCCCCCAUCCGGGCAGAUUCCUAUGCAUUACUCA